GAUCAGCUGUUUGUUUGUGUACAUACAGAAAAUUCAUAUUCAUUUCAUUAGUUAAUAUUAUUUACAAUACCUUUAAAUUAUUAUCGAAAAACAUAAAAUUGCACUUGUACCUAUUUCUUGUUUCAAUAUCGCAAGAUGUCCUUAUUAUUACGCACUGAUGUGACAAGUUUAAAGUUUUAUAAAAACUUUAUUUUAGCAGGAAUUGGAAGCUUUUUAUCUGUAAUUCAAUAUGAUAUAAAUCGACUUUUACAAAAAUUACAUGUAUUGAAAGGCCAAAAGAUCUAUGGCAUAGUUCCUUGUAAUGACAAACUCUUGAUAUUUGGUGGUAAACAGUAUGCUGUUAUUAAAUAUAUAGUAAACAAUACCUUUGAACUAUGUCUUCAGCCAACUAUUUGUGAAGAUUGGUUACAUUCCGGAGUGUGGGUAGGAGAAGAUAGAGUUGCUUUGCUUACUGCUCAUAAUGUCGUUCAGAUUUGGAAUAUAAACCAAAAUAAACUUAAUAUGAAGUAUGUGAGCAUGGAUAAUUCAAUACUAUACAGUGGCCUGUUGGUUCCACUUGCUGAUGGAGUUCUUGUGUUCAGUGGUACAGUGUUCUCUGAAGUUCUGAUUGGUUGCUGUAAUGAUCAGAUAACACCACUACAGAAUCUAAAAGGCCAUAAGGGUGCUAUAUUUUCAAUAAGCUGCAAUAUGGAAAAGCAAAUCAUAGUAACAACAUCUGAUGAUAGAUCUGUUCGAAUUUGGACAGUGAAAAAUACUGUCAGUCAUGAGAAUAAUACAAUAAAAUUUUGGAAGAAUGCCAUGAUAUCAUGUGAACAUGAAUUAUAUGGUCAUAGUGCCCGAGUAAUGAGUAACUGUAUUACCAAUGAUUUUGUUAUAUCUAUUGGAGAAGAUUCUGGAAUAGUAUUUUGGGAUUUUGAUGGAAAAUUGAUUAGAAGAGUUUCUCAUACAAUUGCAAGUGUCUGGUCUUUAGACGCAAAUGAUAAAUUUGUCAUCACAGGUGGUGGUGAUUGUGCAUUAAUGUUGCAUCCAUCCUCUGUUACCAGUAAAGACAAAUCACAGGAAGUUAUUAAAUUAAAUUUAGAUUCACCAAAGAAAGUAGCAUUCACUGCAAGAAGAAACAUAGUCACAAUUAAUGAAAGUAAUGAUUUUGUUUACUAUGAUGUAGAUAAGAAGAUUGAAACUCAUUUUAAGUUGGAACAUGAGUCAACAUUUAAGUUAUUAGGCAUAUCUAACUGUAAACAAUUAAUUGCCGUUGUAGAUAUGUCUGGAAAGUUAGAUAUUUGGAUAGAAAAUUGUAAAAGAGAUGCAUUUCUAAGUAAAAUAGUUGAUACAAAGCUGGAUAUUGGCAGAAUUCUGUCAAUGCAUUGGGCUGAUAAUCGUCAUCUAGCAUUUUGUUCAAAUAAUGGAAUUAUAAGUAUUAUUGCCGCUAAUGGUAAUAGUGUUGAAGUAUAUGCACAUGUUAUACUUCCUCUAUGUAAAGAAAGGUGGCUUACUGCUUGUGCGUACAAAAAUGAAACUUUUAUAGCUGGUGAUAGAUGUGGGAACAUACAUGUCUUUGUGAUAUCACAAAAUGAACCAAUCAAGUCUUUCAAACACAUUCAUGGCCGAUAUGGUCCAACCUCAAUAGUAAUACAACAAAAUUGUUUUGUUACAACAGGAAGAGAUGGAACUAUUAAAUAUUUUUCUCUAAAACCUUUAAAGUACUUAAGUUCCAAAGAGUUUGACUUUCAAUGGGUUGAAUGUUUUGUUGAUAAAAAUAAGCAAUAUAUAUGUGGUUUUCAAGAGAGAGUUUUUGUUAUAUAUGACUUGUUAUUACAUAAUAAAAUACUGGAAAUUCCAUGUGGCGGUGGACAUAGGUCUUGGGAUAUUACACAAUACAAACACAAGACAGAAAAAGUUGUUUGUGAGUAUGUUGAAUUCAUGUAUUUGAAAAGUUCAAGCCUUUAUUUGGAGAGAUAUAACUUAAACAAUAUUGUUUCUAAGCCAAUUAUCAACGGCAGUCAUUCUAAAGUAAUCAAUUGCUUAAAAACUAUUUGUAAGAAUGAUGCUGAAACACUUUUUAUUUCUGGUGGUGAAGACACUACACUAAGAAUAUCAACAAACAUAGGAACAGAAUUUAAAGAUGUCCUGAUUUACAAACAUUUGUCAAACAUAAGAACAUUAAAAGCUGUAAUGAUUGAUGAAAACCGAUAUAUUUUAAUAUCGGCGGGAGGUAGGGCUCAGAUUUGUGUGAAAAUACUUAGUAUUGAAGACUUAUCUAUUGAAGAGAUAACUAAUUAUAUGAUUAAAGGAUCUGAUAAGGAACGAAAAGGGAAUAACAGCUGGAGAAACUGUGCAGUAGAUUUUAAUCCUGAAACUAGGAUUAUGGAUUUGGAUGUAUCUGUAAAUGGUGAUGAAUUUAUUGUUUACGCUGGAUGUUCUGAUGCUAUACUGAGAGUAUUCCAAUUACUUACAAUUUAUCCUCAUGACUUUAAACUCAUCAAAGAGAUAAAGUAUCACAACACUUGUAUACUAAAAACAAAGACGGUCAAUAUUUCAAACAGAACUGUACUUAUAAGUUGUACAUCUCGAGGAAUUAUAUCAGUAUUUGAUGAAAAAACAUUAGAUAAACCUAUAUUUUCUACAAUGGUGCACAGUUCUGGAAUAAAUAGUCUAGCAAUUAAAGUCAUAUCGGAAUCUAGAUUGCUAAUAGCUACUGGUGGAGAUGAUAAUGCAAUUCACGUGAACAUUUUAGAUCUAGGUGAAUGUAGGGUUGUUUCAACUUGGUCGAGUACCAAUAGCCAUUGCUCUCAGGUAACGGGGCUUGUAUUUGCCGAUGAGUACCUAAUAUCAUGUAGUAUCGACCAGAGAGUUACCAUGUGGAGAGUUUGUGUAGGUGAACAUGUCGGGUGUGAAUACAUUCAGCAAGUGUAUAGUGAUGUGGCCGAUAUACAAGGAAUUGAUUUAGUUCAAGUGAAUGGGACUAGUAUUCAGGUGUGUGUGUUUGGCAAGGGAUUGGAGGUGCUGAGUCUAGAGAUGAAGUGAGAUUGAUGCAAAACGGGUCGGUGUGUGAUAGGAUCGGAAACAUUUCUCUCGUCCAAGUUGAUGUCAGUGAAGGUGAAGGCUGUGACGGAGCCCGUGUGGCUGGGCGAAGGUCCUCACUGGUCGCACCACCACCAGGCCCUGUUCUUCGUCAGCAUCUUCGACCGCACCA